rnacentral:rRNA from 1 species
CAGCAGCCGCGGGAAAACAGAGGGUGCGAGCGUUAAUCGGAUUUACUGGGCGUAAAGCGUGCGUAGGCGGUUAUAUAAGACAGAUGUGAAAUCCCCGGGCUCAACCUGGGAACUGCAUUUGUGACUGUAUAGCUAGAGUACGGCAGAGGGGGAUGGAAUUCCGCGUGUAGCAGUGAAAUGCGUAGAUAUGCGGAGGAACACCGAUGGCGAAGGCAAUCCCCUGGGCCUGUACUGACGCUCAUGCACGAAAGCGUGGGGAGCAAACAGGAUUAGAUACCCCCGUAGUCCCUGUCUCUUAUAU